rnacentral:rRNA from 1 species
CCUACGGGAGGCUGCAGUGGGGAAUAUUGCACAAUGGGGGGAACCCUGAUGCAGCGACGCCGCGUGGGUGAGGAAGUCCUUCGGUAUGUAAAGCCCUAUCAGCAGGGAAGAAAAUGACGGUACCUGACUAAGAAUCCCCGGCUAACUACGAGCCAGCAGCCGCGGUAAGACGUAGGGGGCAAGCGUUAUCCGGCUUUACUGGGUGUAAAGGGAGCGUAGACGGCGGGGCAAGUCUGGUGUGAAAGGCCGGGGCUCAACCCCGGGACUGCAUUGGAAACUGGCAUGCUGGAGUGCCGGAGGGGCAAGCGGAAGUCCUAGUGUAGCGGUGAAAUGCGUAGAUAUUAGGAGGAACACCAGUGGCGAAGGCGGCUUGCUGGACGGUAACUGACGUUGAGGCGCGAAAGCGUGGGGAGCAAACAGGAUUAGAUACCCGAGUAGUC